ACCUCAUCCAGAGGGGCUGAGGGAUACGGCCCGACGACGCCCCGGCAACCACCCGCACGCUCGACGCCGAGCGCCCUGCGGGCAGGUGCCAAUUCCGUCCCCGCCGCACCCGGCGAUGCGGGGAAAGAUGAGAG
rnacentral:ncRNA from 2 species